rnacentral:rRNA from 1 species
AACGAACGCUGGCGGCAGGCUUAACACAUGCAAGUCGAACGCAUCCUUCGGGGUGAGUGGCAGACGGGUGAGUAACGCGUGGGAACGUGCCCUUCAGUUCGGGAUAACCCAGGGAAACUUGGGCUAAUACCGGAUACGUGCUAGAGCAGAAAGAUUUAUCGCUGAAGGAUCGGCCCGCGUCUGAUUAGCUAGUUGGUGGGGUAAUGGCCCACCAAGGCGACGAUCAGUAGCUGGUCUGAGAGGAUGAUCAGCCACAUUGGGACUGAGACACGGCCCAAACUCCUACGGGAGGCAGCUGUGGGGAAUAUUGGACAAUGGGCGCAAGCCUGAUCCAGCCAUGCCGCGUGAGUGAUGAAGGCCUUAGGGUUGUAAAGCUCUUUCGUCCGGGACGAUAAUGACGGUACCGGAAGAAGAAGCCCCGGCUAACUUCGUGCCAGCCGCCGCAGUAA